AUUGAACGCUGGCGGAAUGCUUUACACAUGCAAGUCGAGCGGCAGCGCGGGGCAACCUGGCGGCGAGCGGCGAACGGGUGAGUAAUACAUCGGAACGUACCCAGUUGUGGGGGAUAGCCCGGCGAAAGCCGGAUUAAUACCGCAUACGACCUGAGGGUGAAAGGGGGGGAUCGCAAGACCUCUCGCAGUUGGAGCGGCCGAUGGCGGAUUAGCUAGUUGGUGGGAUAAAGGCCCACCAAGGCGACGAUCCGUAGCGGGUCUGAGAGGACGACCCGCCACACUGGAACUGAGACACGGUCCAGACUCCUACGGGAGGCAGCAGUGGGGAAUUUUGGACAAUGGGGGCAACCCUGAUCCAGCCAUUCCGCGUGAGUGAAGAAGGCCUUCGGGUUGUAAAGCUCUUUCGGCAGGAACGAAACGGUGGGUCUUAAUACGAUCUGCUAAUGACGGUACCUGAAGAAGAAGCACCGGCUAACUACGUGCCAGCCGCCGCCGUAA
rnacentral:rRNA from 1 species